rnacentral:rRNA from 1 species
UACAGAGGGUGCAAGCGUUGUUCGGAAUUAUUGGGCGUAAAGGGCGCGUAGGCGGUGCGGUAAGUCUGUAGUGAAAUCUCUGGGCUCAACUCAGAGUCUGCUGCAGAAACUGCCGUGCUUGAGUGUGGGAGAGGUGAGUGGAAUUCCCGGUGUAGCGGUGAAAUGCGUAGAUAUCAGGAAGAACACCCGUGGCUAAGGCGGCUCUCUAGUACGGUACUGACGCUGAGACGCGAAAGCGUGGGGGAGCGAACAGG